UCUCCGUGGGUGAACCUGCGGAGGGAUCAUUACAGAGUUCAUGCCCUACCGGGUAGAUCUCCCACCCUAUGUUAUUAUUACUUUGUUGCUUUGGCGGGCCGUUAGGCUCCGGCCCGACUACCGGCCCCGGCUGGUAAGCGCCCGCCAGAGGACCCAAAACCCUGAAUAUUAGUGUCGUCUGAGUACUAUAUAAUAGUUAAAACCUUCAACAACGGAUCUCUUGGUUCUG
rnacentral:misc_RNA from 1 species